GUCCAGGGAUGGGAAUCGAACCCACAAUGUUCCGCUUACCGGGCAGAUGCCAUGUCCACUAUUUCACCUUGAA